AUUGUUUCUUGGCCUUUCGGCUAAGAUCAUGUGUAGUAUCAGAUCCAGGAACCUUCCUUCUUUUUUUGGCAGGAGUAAAAACCAAAAGGACUAUUUAAUCACUAGGGGAAAAUGCAACUAUUUUUCUAGAGAGCAUUUCUAUUGUGCAUGUAAGUGUUGCACAGCCACAUAUCUUAUAGCUAUCACA